rnacentral:snoRNA from 1 species
CCUGUUCCAUUACUGCUUGUUUGGGAGUGUGAUUUUUAGGCCUGCAAUUAGGUGACAGAAAUCAGAAGGUUUAAGGCCAUUCAGUGUUUUGUUCUUUAAUCUUUAGAGUGGUUUAGAGACCAUCAAA